GCAGUGGUAGUUCAGUGGUAGAAUUCUCGCCUUUCGUGUGGGACACCCAGUUUGAUUCCUGGCCAGUGCA
rnacentral:tRNA from 1 species